rnacentral:misc_RNA from 1 species
AAGUCGUAACAAGGUUUCCGUAGGUGAACCUGUACAGAUCACUGAACACUGGUCUUGAGGGUACCAGGUCACUUGCCUUACCUCACUCGACCGCGCUAGGAAUAUCCAGAGGUCUCUGAAUCAAAAGCUGUUCACUAUGAUUUACCAGAGAUUGCUGAACUCCUCGGAUCAAGAGCUUGGGGUUGAAAGUUCACAGGGUUUUUUAGUUAGGAUAUGUUGUUAAUGAUCCUUCCGCAUGGAAUCAAACGUUCUGUCAGUGUGCGUUUGGUUUGCAAGGGUGGCGCAGUAAACGAUCGCUGGAGGCCGACACGGCCGGCGACCGGGUCAGCGAGCUCUGCUCCCACUGUUACGUCAAACCCCAUGUUCCCCUCUAGUGAAAGCUAUUGGGUUAUAACUAAACGACUGUUAACAAUGGAUAUCUCGAUUCUC